UACGUAGGGUGCGAGCGUUGUCCGGAAUUAUUGGGCGUAAAGAGCUCGUAGGCGGUUUGUUGCGUCGGCCGUGAAAACCUGGGGCUUAACUCUGGGCGUGCGGUCGAUACGGGGCAUCACUAGAGUUCGGCAGGGGAGACUGGAAUUCCUGGUGUAGCGGUGAAAUGCGCAGAUAUCAGGAGGAACACCGGUGGCGAAGGCGGGUCUCUGGGCCGAUACUGACGCUGAGAAGCGAAAGCAUGGGGAGCGAACAGG
rnacentral:rRNA from 1 species